GGAUGUGAGGGCGAUCUGGCUGCGACAUCUGUCACCCAAUUGAUUGCCAGGGUUGAUUGGGCUGAUCUGGCUGGCUAAGCCAGUGUCCCCUUCUUCCCUCACUGCUCCAUGUAUGGCCCUUGCCAAGCUGUGUGCUCGGUUGAAGAGGACGGCCUUCCCCGAAUAGAGAUGGACCAGUCUUCGGUUGAGGGCAUAUGAGUAGAUGCGCUCUCCUGCUAGAACCUCCAAACAAGCUCUCAAGGAAUACAUAAUAUUAACUAUAAUAUCAGGAAAUAUAUGGUGUGUGUACAUAUAUUGCAGGAACUUUGGAACUGUGAAUUUAUAU
ensembl:misc_RNA 7SK 7SK RNA